GGAGGUUACCCCUGUCUGUCACCGUAACACCCAGAGAACACCCAAACAUAUCCAUCUGGGAGGUUACCCCUGUCUGUCACCGUAACACCCAGAGAACACCUAAACAUAUCCAUCUGGGAGGUUACCCCUGUCUGUCACCGUAACACCCAGAGAACACCUAAACAUAUCCAUCUGGGAGGUUACCCCUGUCUGUCACCGUAACACCCAGAGAACACCUAAACAUAUCCAUCUGGGAGGUUACCCCUGUCUGUCACCGUAACACCCAGAGAACACCUAAACAUAUCCAUCUGGGAGGUUACCCCUGUCUGUCACCGUACAACACCCAGAGAACACCU